rnacentral:rRNA from 1 species
UACGUAGGGUGCGAGCGUUGUCCGGAAUUAUUGGGCGUAAAGAGCUCGUAGGCGGUCUGUCGCGUCGGUCGUGAAAACUUGGGGCUUAACCCUGAGCUUGCGGUCGAUACGGGCAUGACUGGAGUUCGGCAGGGGAGACUGGAAUUCCUGGUGUAGCGGUGAGAUGCGCAGAUAUCAGGAGGAACACCGGUGGCGAAGGCGGGUCUCUGGGCCGAUACUGACGCUCAUGCACGAAAGCGUGGGGAGCAAACAGG